CAAGUGUCCACAAAGUAGGUCCGGCUCUCCUCUGCUGCCCCUGGCCUCCCCCGAGGAGGCCCAGGCAGGUCCUUCGGGUGUGGGGACGAGAGAGGCAGACAGGACAGGCGCGUCAGUCACGGGCCUGCCGGUGGUGCCCCUGCGGGAGCCCUACGACCCAGGAGAGGUGUGUGACGACGGGCCGGGCCGGGCCAGCAAGCGCAUCUCCCAGCCUCGUCCAGUGGGGGCCGGGCACACAGGAAGGGGAGGAAGGCGCCUUCCCAGGUCGCAGAGGCCCACAAAUCGCUUCUGUGCCGGGGGCCGCCCGCAAGGCCCCCGGCUCGCCACCACCUGCCCUGCUCCCUGGUUCGUCGUCACAGCAGAGGAAACAGAGACACGAAACAGCCAAGGGCUACGCUCCGCUUAGCCCAUCCCAUUUAGAAAAGGACUGGAGACGAUGACCAAGCAUCUGGGUCCCCCAACAGGGGAGCGCUGGUCAUCGCCUCCCUCACGGGGAGAAGGUAGACGUGCCCCCGCCCCCUUUAAAAGCCCCACUUCCGCGGGGCCCGCCGCCCAGCUGCCCUGUUCCUUCUACAAAAACCUAAACUGCGGCUGUGAAGAUGCCUCACGGGGCCUCCGCGUCCGACCCUGGGGUCCUUCCCGUGGCAGCCCCGCGCCCACAGCACGACAGACACCACAGCCAGACCAGAAGCGUCUGCGCCCCCCCCGACCCCAGACCCUUCUCUGUACCUGCGAACCUUCCCACGCAGACCUCGGAGCGUGGCCUGUUGGCUCUUUCCCCGCCUUCUUGCUGGAAUUGAGCUGCCCACAAACAUGCCGGGAUUUCGCACGGCCGUUCCUUCCCGCGUGGCUCCUACUCGGUGACCCCGCCACACGGAGCCAUGGGCUCCGAAACGACUCACAAACCAGGUAACGGAUCACAAACAAUGCAGACUCAGUCUGAGUUCUUGUCCAAUGAAUCCCUGCAGACGGCACCAUGAACACCAGACCCUUCCUCUCGCAGAGGCGUGGGGACAGGGCCACCGGCUGUCCCCGUGGCUCCCGAUCAGGGCCACCGCAGAGCUCACCAAUUUCAAAACCCAGCCGUCUGUAAGAACCUCACUCCUCACCGCAGCCACACGGCCGGGGAAGAAACCGCUACUCUCCCAACAGCGUGGGAGCUUCAACAAGGCUUUUCGUGACACAAAGAACAGAAACCAGUAAAAAGCUUAGAGUCAAAAAGUUUAAUUUUAUUACAAUUGUUUUUUAAAGUCAGCAACGAUCUUGAUAAAUUUCAUGGUUAAGUCUAUAUAGCGAGUCUCCAAUUUCCAGGAUACAAAAGA